AGAAAUAUGUCUGAUAAAAGAGUUACUUUGAUAGAGUAAAUUAUAGAGGUUCAAAUCCUCUUAUUUCUA
rnacentral:tRNA from 3 species